UUUCUACUUCUCACAAUAGUAUUGCUCAGAUAGUAUUGCCAUUUCUCGCGGUGUCAGUUUUCAUUGUAUUGAUCACGUAAAAUAAACGUGAACUUUUAACGUGCAAUAAAGGGAGUAAUGUAACCGAAGGCUGAGGGAAAGGAGUUCGAAGGUAGCGUAAUGUAAUAUUUAAUGUUGCCUUAUUAUAACGCUUUACAUGGAAAAAAAAGUUAAUGUUAACAUAUGGAUUAAAAGCUGAACAUAUGUAGUAAUUACAUUAGUGGUAUAAUUGUGUUCCCUAAAAUCAUCAGGCCAGUUUUAUAAUUCUGACCUGUUUUCAAAGAAGCUUAAGACACGAGGGCUAACCUUCCUUGCAUGUUUUCCAUAAAGACAUGAAUACUGAAUAGUGUGCACAAUGGAACAUGCAAACUUAUACCUAUACAGUUUUUUUUAAUUGGUAUGUUUCUGAAGUAAAAACAACCGAAAAAAAAUGAAUAAUAAAAAAAAAGCAAUGAAGUAAUUCGAAUACCAUAAAUAUCGUAAUGCAUUUAUAAUUUUUGAGGAAGACAUCGAUGGUGAAAUCUGAAAUAGCGGUUAGGAGCACGUGACGGCAAAGUGGUGGAUGACUCUAGUGAUUCUUUUCGAGAGAACUGCUGGUUUCACCACAAAAUUGAAUAUCACAGAACCAGUUACAGUGUACCAAAGACCUGGUAUAAGCGUGAGGUUCCAUGUAAUGGAGUGGGCGUGGUGAAUGAACAAGGCCAUGGUUACAGGCAUCCUAUAGGUUCACUAGUAAGGGGAACACAGUCUUUUGCCAUUGUGCUCAGCUAGCAGAAGAAGAUGCUGUCUCUCAGCUCUGUCAAGGACAUGCCACAAACCAGCAUUUCUCUCCUGGGGUACACCACCACACCCUACACUAUGCAUGUUGGGAUGAGUCACCUACCAGGUUAUAUGUAGUCAGUGUACAUGUUGAGUUGUGUUGUUUCUCUCUCUCUCUCUCUCUCUCUCUCUCUCUCUCUCUCUCUCUCUCUCUCUCUCUCUCUGAAAGUGAAAAAAUAGUUUAAUUUCUAACUUACUCCAAAGAACUCAAACGACUAUUUUGCAUAUGUAUAACGUUUCGUUUUUAAGUAAGCAAUAUAUCACAAUUGUUUUAUAAAAAUUCUUAAAAUUCAGUAUUGAAAAAAUUUUCACAGGUUCGGACCUGCAUUGCAAGUCCUGCCCCCCCCCACAAAAAAAAAAAAAAAAAGGAAAUUUUCAGAUAAAACUUUUUAUAUAAGGUUAGAGAUAAUUAAACUGAAAUGCAGAAGACGAAUAUUCAUAUAAAAUGUAUAUAUCAAUAAAAAGAAAAGUUUGUUUUA